CCUGCUCCUAGAGGCAACACGGGUAUGGCUGCUGUGUUACAUGUGGGUCAGUAGGUGGCAGAGAAGAAAGAGGCUAGGUCUACACUUCAUGUUCUGACCUUUGAUCAGCUGAAUGAUCAGUAGUCUAACAUU
ensembl:snoRNA Gm23816 predicted gene, 23816